rnacentral:tRNA from 1 species
AAAGAAUUAAUUUAAAUUAUAAAAUAUUAAUAUGUCAUAUUAAAAUUAUUAGAAUAACUAAUAUUCUUUU